GCAUUGAGUGACAGCAAGGAGGCGGGGUGGACAACCUUGGAUGGACACAGUAAAUUAUGCAUAGCCGCACCCACUGGGACAAGAUAUCUGGCAAGGGGUGUGCUUUCACCGAUCUACACUGUAUGUACAGAAUUGGAAUUUCAACAGCAAGCAUGAUAGUAAAAGAAGUAUGCAGAGCAAUUUGGUCAGUCAUGCAAUCGGAAUGUCUACCUACUAGAGAUGAGCGGGUUCGGGUUUUACUCUGAUUUAUUUGGUUCUCAAAACGGCAUCUUAUUGGCUAUCCAAAACAAGAGACAUCCGUGAGCCAAUAAGAUGCUGUUUUGAGGGGAUCAGAAUGAAAUCCCGCUGGAUGUGAUCCCGGCGGUCAAAAUACCGACACCGGAAUCCCGAACAGCAGAAUCCUGACAGGAGUGGCGAGCGGAACGCAGCCCCUUGCGGGCUCACUGCGCUCGCCAUGCUGCGGGCACGGUGCUUUGCUACGCUCGGCACACUAUUUUAUUCUCCCUCUAUGGGUGUCGUGGACACCCACAGAGGGAGAAUAUGUCGGGAUUGUGCCGGUCGGGAUUCCGGUGUCGGUAUUUCGACCGCCGGGAUUCCAUCCGGCAGGAUCUUGACCGCAUACCAUUUUGAGAACCGAGUAAAUCCAAGUAAAACUGAGUAAAACCGAACCCGCACAUCUCUACUACCUACACAUACCAUAGAACAGUGGCAAUCAAUUGCAGAGGAUUUUUCUUAAAAAAAUGCCAGUUUUGCCACAUUGCUUAGGAGCAGUUGAUGGGGAAACCAAACAAGACUGAUUUGUCCAUCCAGCAGCAGUUCAAUGUUCUACAACUACAAAGAUUAUUAUUUUGUAGUAUUAUUGCAAAUGACAGAUUCAAAGUACUGGUUUAUUUAUGUAAAUACAGGAAACUUUGGGAAAGACUGCAACUAUGCUAUUUGGAAAAAAUGUGGACUGUGGACAUCAACUGCAACAAACUGCCAGACAACAAAUGUCUUACUGGAACAGAAAGUCCUAAAGUGUCAUAUGUCUUUGUUGGAGAGGAGGCAUUCGCACUUCAUAAACAUCUGUUACGACCUUAUGGUGGCUUAAACCUCACAGAAAACUAAAAAUAUUUAACUAUCACCUGAGUAGGGCUCGUAGAUAUGUUGAAUGUUCAUUUGGCAUCCUAACUAAUAAGUGGCUCAUUCUCCAUCGCCCAAUUAAUGUGGAUCCAGAUUUUGCAGUUGACAUUGUCAAGGCUUAUAUUAUUCUAAAUAAUCUUCUUCGGGAUGGAGAAGGAAUACUGAUUGAUUAUACUACCACAAUAACAGGCUUGGAAUAUUUACCACGAGAACCAACAGCAUGAGGAGGCUUAUCUGCAAACAACAUUAUAUUUUGGGACUAUUUUGUAACAUACAUUGGAGUUGUACCCUGGCAAAUGUCAAAAAUAUAAAUAAUGGAAGUUACAGAACAGUGUCCAAUAGCUUCUAAAAAAUACUAUUUGAUCAACAUAGGGUUGUGGGAACCUAAAGGAUAAAGCAAAGGGGCAGACUAGGUGGGCCAAGUGGUUUUUAUGUGCUGUCAAUUUCAUUGUUUCCAUGUUUCUGUAAAUGGGUUUGUAGUGUACACAGUUGUAAAGUUUGUACACAGACAAUAUUGCAAAACAUUACUAGUAGAAAUAAAACUACUUACCAAAUA